rnacentral:rRNA from 1 species
ACUCAAAUGAAUAGACGGGGACCCGCACAAGCAGCGGAGCAUGUGGUUUAAUUCGAAGCAACGCGAAGAACCUUACCAGGGCUUGACAUCCCUCUGACAGAUCCUUAAACGGAUUUUUCUUCGGACAGAGGAGACAGGUGGUGCAUGGUUGUCGUCAGCUCGUGUCGUGAGAUGUUGGGUUAAGUCCCGCAACGAGCGCAACCCUUGUCAUUAGUUGCCAGCAGUAAGAUGGGCACUCUAGUGAGACUGCCGGGGAUAACUCGGAGGAAGGUGGGGAUGACGUCAAAUCAUCAUGCCCCUUAUGUUCUGGGCUACACACGUGCUACAAUGGCCGGUACAGAGAGAAGCCAGACCGCGAGGUGGAGCAAAACUCAAAAGCCGGUCCCAGUUCGGAUUGCAGGCUGCAACUCGCCUGCAUGAAGUCGGAGUUGCUAGUAAUCGCAGAUCAGAAUGCUGCGGUGAAUGCGUUCCCGGGUCUUGCACACACCGCCCGU